rnacentral:rRNA from 1 species
UGGCGAACGGGUGAGUAACACGUGGGUAACCUGCCCAUCAGAAGGGGAUAACACUUGGAAACAGGUGCUAAUACCGUAUAACACUAUUUUCCGCAUGGAAGAAAGUUGAAAGGCGCUUUUGCGUCACUGAUGGAUGGACCCGCGGUGCAUUAGCUAGUUGGUGAGGUAACGGCUCACCAAGGCAACGAUGCAUAGCCGACCUGAGAGGGUGAUCGGCCACACUGGGACUGAGACACGGCCCAGACUCCUACGGGAGGCAGCAGUAGGGAAUCUUCGGCAAUGGACGAAAGUCUGACCGAGCAAACGCCGCGUGAGUGAAGAAAGGUUUUCGGAUCGUAAAAACUC